GACGUAGGGCGCGAGCGUUGUCCGGAUUUAUUGGGCGUAAAGAGCUCGUAGGCGGCUUGUCGCGUCGAAUGUGAAAACUCGGGGCUCAACCCCGCGCUUGCAUUCGAUACGGGCAGGCUCGAGUUCGGUAGGGGAGACUGGAACUCCUGGUGUAGCGGUGGAAUGCGCAGAUAUCAGGAGGAACACCGAUGGCGAAGGCAGAUCUCUGGGCCGUAACUGACGCUGAGGAGCGAAAGCGUGGGGAGCGAACAGG
rnacentral:rRNA from 1 species